CAGCAGGACCCAAGGGUGGGGUUGUUCGCCCAUUAAAAGGGAUCGUGAGAUGGGUUUAGACCGUCGUGAGACAGGUUUGUUGCUUGGUGGUAGAAUCGCAUAAGGUGUCUGAUGGAAGGGGCCCUUUAGUACGAGAGGAACGAGGGCUCGGGGCCACUAGUUUACCAGUUGUCUGACAAGGCAAUGCUGGGUAGCCACGCCCUAGAGGAUAAGAGCUGAAAGCAUCUAAGCUCGAAGCCACCCCAAAAACGAGACA
rnacentral:rRNA from 1 species